rnacentral:rRNA from 1 species
UACGAAGGGGGCUAGCGUUGCUCGGAAUUACUGGGCGUAAAGCGCACGUAGGCGGCUUUCUAAGUCGGGGGUGAAAUCCUGGAGCUCAACUCCAGAACUGCCUUCGAUACUGGAAAGCUCGAGUCCGGGAGAGGUGAGUGGAACUGCGAGUGUAGAGGUGAAAUUCGUAGAUAUUCGCAAGAACACCAGUGGCAAAGGCGGCUCACUGGCCCGGUACUGACGCUGAGGUGCGAAAGCGUGGGGAGCAAACAGG